rnacentral:rRNA from 1 species
UUAAUGGAGAGUUUGAUCCUGCGAUCAGGGAUAACGCUGGCGGGCGUGCCUAAUACAUGCAAGGUCGAGCGAAUGGAUUAAGAGCUUGCUCUUAUGAAUUAGCGGCGGACGGGGUGAGUAACACGUUGGGUAACCUGCCCAUAGACUGGUAACUCCGGAAACCGGUAAUACCGAUUAACAUUUUUACCGCAAUGGUUCGAAAGUGAAAAGGCGGCUUCGGCUGUCACUUAUGGAUGGACCCGCGUCGCAUUAGCGUAGUUGUGAGGUAACGCCACCAAGGCAACGAUGCGUAGCCGACCUUGAGAGGAGUGAUCGCGCACACUUGGACUGAGACACGGCCCAGACUCCUACGGGAGGCAGCAGUAGGAAUUCUUCCGACAAUUGGACGAAAGGCUGACGGAGCAACGCGCGUAGUGAUGAAGGCUUUCGGGUCGUAAAAACUCUGUUGGUUAGGGAAGAACAAUGCUAGUUGAAUUAAGCUGGCACCUUGACGGGUACCCUACCCAAAAGCCACGGCUAACUACGGGCCAGCAGCCCGCCGGUAAUACGUAGGUGCAAGCGUUAUCCGAUUAUGGCGUAAAGCGCGCGCAGUGUCUAAGUCUGAUGUGAAAGCCCACGGCUCAACCGUGGAGGGUCAUUGAAAUGGGAGACUGGUGCAGAAGAGGAACGUGGAAUUCAAUGUGAGCGGUGAAAUGCGUAGAGUAUGGAGGAACACCAGUGCGCGAAGGCGACUUUCUGGUCUGUAAACUGACACUGAGGCCGCGAAAGCGUCGGGAGCAAACAGGAUAGAUACCCUGUAGUCCACGCCGUAAACGAAUGAGUGCUGAAGUGUAGAGUUUUCCGCCCUUUAUGCUUGAAGUUAACGCAUUAAGCACUCGCCUGGGGAAGUACGGCCGCAAGGCUGAAAACUCAAAGGAAUUGACGGGGGCCCGCACAAGCGGUGGGCAUUGUUGGUUAUUCGAAGCAACGCGAAGAACCUUACCAGGUCUUGACAUCCUCUGAAAAACCCUUAGAGAUAGGGCUUCUCCUUCGGGGCAGAGUGACAGUGGUGCAUGGUUGUGUCAGCUUUCGUGUCGUGAGAUGUUGGGUUAAGUCCGCAACGAGACGCAACCCUUGAUCUUAGUUGCCAUCAUUUAAGUUGGCACUCUAAGGUGACUGCCGGCUGACAAAACCGGAGGAAGGUGGGGAUGACGUCAAAUCAUCAUGCCCUGUAUGACCUGGGCUCACACGUGCUACAAUGGACGGUACAAAAGAGCUGCAAGACCGCGAGGUUGGAGCUAAUCUUCAUAAAACCGUUCUCAUUCGGAUUGUAGGCUGCAACUCGCUACGAUGAACUGGAAUCGCAGUAAUCGCGGAUCAGCAUUGCCGCGGUGAAUACGUUCCCGGACCCUUGUACACACCGCCCGUCACACACGAGAGUUUUUGUAACACCCGAAGUCGGUGGGGUAACCUUUUUGGAGCCAGCCCCGCCUAAGGUGGACAGAUGAUUUGGGGUGAAGUCGUAACAAGGUAAGCCGUAUCGAAGGUGCGGCUGGAUCACCUCCUUUCU